AUGGAUGCCGCCCUCUGCAGCUCCGUCGCCAAGACCGUGGGCCACCGCGUCCGGAGAUGGCCGGAUCUACCCCGGCCCGACGGCUUGCGCUUUCUUCCGCGUCCUCCCCAUCCCGCCACUGCCGCGUCCGGCAACCUCGUCUUCGCGCCUCCGCCUUGUUCCACUCGAUUUCUGCCUCCAUUCGCUGGCAAACAACAGCCUCCUUCAACCUCGUCGCCUCAAGCCCCUGCUUCGUCUCCUCCUACAUGGAUCCGUUCGCCCUCGCGUCGUUCCUGCGGGAUCAGACGCGUUCCGGCCGGGAAGAGCCCCGCCGCUGCGACCUCCUGCCUCCUGUCGCCAUGGCGCCACUGCCUUUCUUCUUCAGCGAAGGCAACAGCUCUGCAUCGAGCGCACGACCACCACGCGCGUGGGUCACUAGCUGGACUCUAG
rnacentral:rRNA from 1 species